UACAGAGGGUGCAAGCGUUGUUCGGAAUUAUUGGGCGUAAAGGGCGCGUAGGCGGUGCGGUAAGUCUGCAGUGAAAUCUCUGGGCUCAACUCAGAGUCUGCUGUAGAAACUGCCGUGCUUGAGUGUGGGAGAGGUGAGUGGAAUUCCCGGUGUAGCGGUGAAAUGCGUAGAUAUCUGGAGGAACACCGGUGGCGAAGGCGGCAUCCUGGACCGACACUGACGCUGAGGAGCGAAAGCCAGGGGAGCAAACGGG
rnacentral:rRNA from 1 species